AACUACUGCAGGAUUAACAGCUCCACAUGUGGGGUGCGGCUGCACGCGGCUCUGCUGGGGCCUCCUUGCGCAGUCAGCCGGUGGUGUGAACGCUCAGUGUUAAAAGUGACACCAGCGAGAUGGAGGCGUCACUGUCAGCUGUAGUAAGAGAUGACACCCAGGCCUACAGGGUUGGGUGAGAGCUCAGGAGCGGCAGCCCCUCCCUGCCUGGGUCCCAGGAUCCCAGGGACUGGAGGGGAGGGGUCCAACAUUAAAUGAGCUUGGUGGGUCCACUGAAGGGGAGGAAUCUGUCCCAGGCGGGCAAAGUAUGGGAAACUGAAGCUGUGAGGAUGUGGAGGAACGUGGCAAGGUCAAGAGGCUGAGAGCAAGAAGGGAAGGGGCCCUGCAGCAGGAAGAGCCGCUCUGCAGAGGGCUGGCUGCCCAGUUCUAUUUUCUCCAACAAACUUCGGCCAGCUGCCCAUUCGGUUAUGCAGACUGCAGUUGUAAUUUUCACAAAAGAGGUUAUAAACAACCUCUAGGAUUUAUAUUCCAGUUGUGAAAAUGUUACUGACACACCUGAAACAUUUAAGGAGGAAUGUAAAAUGCACUCUUGUCUGGCGUUGGGUUCUGAGGGAAAAUGGCCCGCUUUUGGAAUACUUAGGAGGAAGGAGAGUUUGGUGAGAGCACAGAAAUGUUCUAACAACUGCUUCUUUCUCUGCUGCUACCAUCACCAAAGCUGAGAGCAGGAGAGGGAAGAGGAAAGGAGGGGCUGAGAAGAGAGGCAGGGAGAAGAGGUAAUUUAAUGUGCCAGUGUGUGAAUGGGGCAAGGCAUGGCAAUCCAUUUUGCAGGUGGGGAAAUUGAGAUCCAAAGCUCCUAACGGGCUUCCCCCAGAGGCAGAGAUGCAACUUGAGCCAAAAUCAUGCAACCUGGUGCAUUCAGCGGGGAUGCUUGGAUGCAUUUUCUCUCACAGGCUUUGGUUGUAGGUCUAAGUAUUGCGCGGCCGGCAUGGACUGGGGGCUGGAUCAAGGUUCAUUGUAAAGUAAAACUCAAGAACAUCCACUCCUUUGGGGUGUGACAUAAAACAACUCACCUCCACCAUUACGGUUUACAAAACACUCUCCUAUUUAUUAUCUCAUUUUCUCCUCACAGCAACCCUGUGACAAACACAUCGUUACUACCAUUUUGCAUCUUAGGAAACUGAGGCUCAGAGAAGGAAUACACUGUGGUGUUGGGAGAGCCCCUUAGGAAUAGAAAGGAUCCUGGGACGUCUGAUUCCACCGCAGGCACGUUUAAAUCUCACAAGUCACUCAGGACAACCCAGCUAUUAACUAAUUUGCUUGUCCUGUCCCCUUUCCUCUUCCAACGUGACUUGCCCUCUGCGAGCCCAGCCUGGAGGUGAUUGGACCUGAAGUGGGUUUAGAGGGAGCCUCUCAUUGGCUGGCCAGCAGCCAAUCAGAUACUUCUGUAGAUCCUCCUAGGUCUACCCUGGGAGCUCCCCGCGGAGCUCCGAUGGAGGAUGGUCUUGGGGGACGUUAGCUUGCAGUCUGCAUGUGCCUGUUUCCGAGGUCCUCAAAGCUGCCCUCAUUUCUCCCUCAGUCUCCACCCUCAUACCCCCCACACCUCCUGUAAUGUGUGAGUCCCAGAUCCCUAAUAACCUUUCCUUUCUAACCCAAGGUUAUCAGUAUUUCCUGCUCCGUGGAAGUCAAGUAGCCCAAGGAAAACCACCUUGCAGAAUUCAGGGAGGGGUUUCAGUUGCUGGUCCUCAGCAAGGCCACACAUCUUGAUGAGGUUUCUCCAGCAAACUUAAACCAAGAUGUCAGUUUUCACCUCCACAUUCUGUCACAGGUGAAACCUACAUGUGCACCCCUCCUCCUGGGAAUGCCUUACGAGCAUGCAGGAAACUUCAGAGCUGGUGGCCUAUCGUGGUCCAUCUGCCUGGGGCUGACCAUGGGCAGAGCAACAGAGGCCUUUGGAUGUCCACUGGCAGGAAAGUCUUCCACCAGAUGGGCAGCGCAUCCGCUCGGCACAGCCCGAGGAGGCGGAAGCGCGGCUACAGCGCCGCAGAGAGAGCCUCCAGCGUGCAGCUGCAGCGCGGGGGAGAUGGAGCCGGGGCUCCUUCCCUGCCCGCCCCGCCCCGCUGCGCCAGCUCGGGGACCAGGGCUCAGGCCACCGCAUCGCGCUGUGUAGCACGCCCGGAGCCGGUGGCUGGCCUAAGCUUCUCCUCUUGCUGGGCACCCUUGCUCUGGCGGCGUCAGGAAACCCCUCCCUGCUCUGGCAGGGCUAAGGAACCCUCAGCCUGGGCCCCCAAAUGCCCUCUCCCUAGAUGGCUGUGACUAUGUGACCUUGGGCAAGUUACCCCCCAUCUCAGUGCUUCUGCUUCCUUCUCUGAGAAAAAGAGUUAAUAACACACAUUCCUGGCUGCUUGCAAGGAUUGAAGGAGAGAGGUGUAUAUUACUGGCUAUAGUCUUGGCUCAAUAAAUGAGAGGAGAUUUGAAGUUUGGAGAGCAGGUAGGAUGUUUUAAAAGGGAUUUCUCCUUUUCCUGAUGCGGGACUUUGGCUUCUGUUUCUUGCUCCAUAUGCAGUGGUUGCAGGAAGACUCUCCAAUAGGAGGUCAUCAUACCGCACCCUCUGUGUAGCCCCAUUCAGGGCUCUCACAAAGUAGCCAUCCUGCAGUUCACACCCUUAGAUGCAGCCAGGUCCAGACCUGGCAGUUCCAGGACAGCUGUGUUGCUUUGCUCAUCCAGCUCCCUCCCUCUUGGUGCCUCUGCAGAAAUUUUAGUGACAGGGGUCACAGUAUGGGCAUGAGGCCAGAGAGUCUGGAGCACCUGGCCCCUUGCAGGUCUACAUUGUUAUUCAGUCUGCCCCUUGAGCUCGAUGUUACCUCUUCCUUUACCUACCAAUCCCUCCUCUUGGAGGCAGCUCUCCGGGCAGGUGCCAAGCCUCCUUCAUUCUGCUUCUCUAGCAUCUAACACAGCGCCGAGCACAUAGUAGAUGCCUAGUGAUGGUGGCCUGGGUGGUAUGGGUGAGCAGCACCUGGAAAAACUUCUUUCCACAAAUAACUAACAUCUGUAAAGUCUAAAGCUAUACUGUUGAUCAGUUCUUUGGACAUAAUAUGCAGUCUAACUACAUAAUAUGCAAAGCUCACUGUAAAUGAAAAUGUGGGCCCUUUGUUAAAAAGUUAGGAAUUUCAAGAUGGCCACAGCAGAACACUGAACUAAGCACAGAGCUCUUCUGGGCAGGGAACCCUCAUGAGCUCAGAUACCUGCACUACUGACAGGUCACAUACCCAUGAAGCACCCCUGCCUUUGGGUCUUGGAGUUUAGACAUCCUGAAUGUCUCUUAUUAAAACAUCACCACUACCCCACUCAACCACCCUUCCUGAGGCAAUGCUUGCAAUGUGGCCAUACUCAGCCAAAAAGCAACAUUUCCCUUGUUAGGAAAGAGCUUCUGAAAAUCCUGGAAUCAGUGAGCAAGGAUGUGGCCAUUCUUCCAGACAGGACAGACCAAAACAGUUCUGAUUGAAAACAAAAACAAGACCCUAAGUAAAUUCUCCUUUAGAGUGACUCACAAGCUUCUCAGCCCCCUGCCCUACCCUGCCCUCUGCCCUGCUAAUAAGGUCUCUCUUCAGUUCUGUGACUAUUUAUUAAGCAUUCUCUGCAUGCAGGCACUGCUAUAGGCCCCAGGGAUAAAACAGUGUCCAGUGUCAAUAAAACCCCUGCCCUCCUAGGACUGGCAUUGUAGUGGGGAAAAUCGAAAAUAAAUUUACAUAAAGAGACAGAUGUAUAGUAUAAUGUCAGGUGGUGCUGAGUGCUAACUGACAAUAAAUAUAUAAAUAAAUAAAUGCAGGUUAAGAGGACAGAGAGUAAGGUGGGUGUAAUGGUAGAUAGACUGGUCAGGGAAGGCCUCCCUGAGGAGGUGCCUUUUGAGUGGAGACCUGGAAAGGUGAAGGGCAAGCCACACCCAGGUCUGUGGGUUGGGUGUUCCAGGCUGAGGGAAUAGUAAGUGCAAAGGCCCUGAGGCAGGAAAGUGACUGGCAAGAGUAGCAAGGGGGCAGACAGGUAGUGUGGUAGGGGAUGAGAUGACAGAGGUCAUGGGGACCCAGAGCAUGCAGGAGCUUGCAGCUUCUUGAGGAGUUCCGAUUGGAUACCAAUUGGCCAGAGGGCAGUAACUCAUUAGUGUAAUUGAUAGCAGGCUGUCAUUUCCCAUCCCACAGGUGACUCCCAAACUACCUUUCCUGGCAUACUGAGCUCCGUAUUUCGGCAGAGCCUCUCAGGAGACAUGGCAAGAUAGCAGGGGACACAGGAAAUGAGAGGGGCCUGGGUUCCAGUCUCUCUUCUGUGGUUACUGCUUUGGGACUUGGGUGCAAUGCUUAAACUCUCCAUCUGGACUCCUUUAUCACAUCCUGCUGUUUUGUUGGGAGGGCUAAGGAUGUAGAGCACCAAGCAGGAAGCCUGGCACACAGUAGGCAUUCACAGGUAUUUGGUAAGUGUAAUAGCUACAGUUAGCCCUUCUACCUUUUCCAGAGGGUUCACUAUUGGUUUUAAUCGCAGCAUCCCUUGAAUUCCAAUGCCUCCACCCUUUGGGGGAACAAUAGUGUUCUGUUUUGUACAGUGUCUUCAAGUUUCCUUCCUGAGGAGAAAAAGGACAGGAGCUUGAUGUUUGUUCAAUACCAACCCCCUGCUUGCUAUCUACUGUUCAUGAGUCCAUUGGCAAGCCCAGGAUGUGGGCACUGUUACCCCAUUUCAUGGGUAAAGAAGCUGAGGUUCAGAGGGGUUCAGGGAUGUAGUGUCACAGCUGGUCAGUGGCAGACUUGAGGUCAGCCUGGUGACAUUGGAAGCCAGCUGGCUGUUCCUUCCAUGGUUUUCCUGGGAAGGAAACCCAAGGGUCAAUGAUUAUGGACUCAGCUGGGCUCUGGGGUCCAAUGCUGGGAUCUGAAUCUUGCCUAUGCGUCUCCCAUGGAAGUUACUGAGACCCCUGUCUAAUUGCUCUGUGCCUCAGAAUAAUAGCCCCCUUACCCCAUAAGGUAAUUGUGAGAAAGAAAUGGUAAGUCCCUGCCUGGAAUACAAUCAUUGCUCAAAUAAUCUUACCAACCAUAUUAUUGGAAAGCUGUAACCCAGUAUUUUCUUAGUAAUGCUUUCUGAAACAGACCUUCCAGGCAUACCUUCUCUUUUUUCUU